AAAGGUUACUCCCUUGUUCGUUAUAGCCUUCAUGUUAUUAUAUUAAAGGUUACUCCCUUGUUCGUUAUAGCCUUCAUCUUAUUAUAUUAAAGGUUACUCCCUGUUCGUUAUAGCCUUCAUCUUAUUAUAUUAAAGGUUACUCCCUUGUUCGUUAUAGCCUUCAUCUUAUUAUAUUAAAGGUUACUCCCUUGUUCGUUAUAGCCUUCAUCUUAUUAUAUUAAAGGUUACUCCCUUGUUCGUUAUAGCCUUCAUCUUAUUAUAUUAAAGGUUACUCCCUUGUUCGUUAUAGCCUUCAUCUUAUUAUAUUAAAGGUUACUCCCUUGUUCGUUAUAGCUUUCAUCUUAUUAUAUUAAAGGUUACUCCCUUGUUCGUUAUAGCUUUCAUCUUAUUAUAUUAAAGGUUACUCCCUUGUUCGUUAUAGCCUUCAUCUUAUUAUAUUAAAGGUUACUCCCUGUUUUGUUCUUCGCUCAUUUUCCGUUUUUUCCACUGCAAGUGUGCAUAUUUAUUUAUUUAUUUAUCAUUCGUUUACUUAUUUAAUGUUAUUUAUUGUAGUUAACUGAGGGGACACUA